GUGCCAUCCAGACUGAGGAAGACCCGGAAACUUCAGGGCCACGUGAUCCACAGCCAUGACCCUAUAAGGGAAGCACCAGAAGCACCCUGGAGGCCACGGUAAUGCUGGUGGCACACAUCACCACAGGACCAGCUUCAACAAAUACCACCCAGGCUACUUUGGGAAAGUUGGUAGGACGCAUUACCACUUAAAGAGGAACCAGAGCUUCUGCCCAACUGUCAACCUUGACAAACUGUGGACUUUGGUCAGCGAGCAGACAUGGGCAAAUGCUGCUGAAAACAAGACUGGGGCUGCUCCCAUCAUUGAUGUGGCGCUAUUGGGCUACUACAAAGUUCUGGGAAAGGGAAAGCUCCCAAAGCAACCUGUCAUCAUGAAGGCCAAAUUCUUCAGCAGAAGAGCUGAGGAGAAGAUGAAGGGAGUCGCAGGGGAUCUGCGUCCUGGUGGCUUGA
rnacentral:lncRNA from 1 species